AAUAAUUUGAGCAUUUUGUAUAACGAUAUUUUAAAAAAGUAUAAAUCUGAAAUAUAAUAUAAGUAAAUGUAUGGAAUUUUCCUGAAAAUAAGUAAUAAUUUUGAAAAUUAAUAAUUUUGAAUUGUAAGUGGCAACAUUUGGCAUUUUGAUGAUUAUUUGCAUGUAACAUCUGUGUUCAAUCAGACAUAACGAGGGGUUUUUUGACAGUUGUGACAUCCUUGUGGAGUGACGUGUUUUCGGCCGUUAACAAAAAACUAAAAUUAAAAAACAAAUUGAAGGAUGUAAUUUAAUAAUCACAAAGAUGUAUUGAUGCGACUAUAUACAAGAAAAUACAAGAAAUUGGAGAACAAAAUGUAAAUGUAAAGAGCAAUAACUACAAAAUAUAAAUUGUAAUGUAAAUUUUGUAACUAGCCAAUUUUAAAUGACAUAAUUUUAAUGACAAUUUGAUAGGAAAUGACUAAUAUUUUUUAAAUCUUAACAAUUUAAAUAAUGAAUAAUAAAAAUUAAUAUAUAAAAUUGAA
rnacentral:misc_RNA from 1 species